UAUCAAAAACAUGGCCCUCUGUUUUAAGUGUAAAGGGGGUCUGGCCUGCCCGGUGGGAAUGAAAGUUCCUAAACGGUCGCAGCUACAACUGUGCGAAGGUAGCGCAAUAGGUCGUCCUUUAAUUGGGGGAGAGUAUGAAUGGUCGGAUGUUGGAAGGACUUUAUUAGGGGCAUUGGUUGAAAUUUACUUUUUAGUGCAAAGGCUGAAAUAAGGUUAUUAGACGAGAAGACCCUAUUGAGCUUGGUAAGCUCAAGUAUUGAAGGCUUGGGUUGUAUGUUUUUUCGGGGCUGAAAAGAAGGGAUGGAAUAUCUUCUGUUUUUAACGCUGAUCCAACAUGGUUGAGAAGGGGAAGAUAGUUACCAUAGGGAUAACAGCGCAAUUUCCUUGAUAAGAUCAUAUUUAAGGGGGAGUUUGCGACCUCGAUGUUGAAUCAGAGUUUCUGCCAGGUGCAGCGGCUUGGCAAGUGGGACUGUUCGUCCUUUAAAGCUCUACGUGAUCUGAGUUCAGACCGG
rnacentral:rRNA from 1 species